ACUCAGGCCAGUGGCAGAGGCAGAGGGAGAGGGGCAGCCUCUUCUUCAGCGGGUUUCAGAGGUGAAGGUCCAUCAGCUCCAGCACGGAUCUUCACAAUGACACAGCAGGAGGCAGAUGCAUCUAACACCGUGGUGGCAGGUAACUUAGUCAUUGGUUGUUCAGAUGUGUAUGCCUUGAUGGACCCGGGCGCAUCUCACUCUUUUAUUGCACCGAGAGCCGUCCAGAGGUUAGGGUUG
rnacentral:lncRNA from 1 species